rnacentral:sRNA from 1 species
AUCCCAUCCCGGCCACCCGGGCAGCGGGACCAGGCGUCUGGGGCGCAGCAUGCGGGGCGUGUGGCCGCCCCCGGUGUCCGCCCUGCUGUCGGCGCUGGGGAUGUCGACGUACAAGCGGGCCACGCUGGACGAGGAGGACCUGGUGGACUCGCUCUCCGAGGGCGACGCAUACCCCAACGGCCUGCAGGUGAACUUCCACAGCCCCCGGAGUGGCCAGAGGUGCUGGGCUGCACGGACCCAGGUGGAGAAGCGGCUGGUGGUGCUGGUGGUACUUCUGGCGGCAGGACUGGUGGCCUGCUUGGCAGCACUGGGCAUCCAGUACCAGACAAGAUCCCCCUCUGUGUGCCUGAGCGAAGCUUGUGUCUCAGUGACCAGCUCCAUCUUGAGCUCCAUGGACCCCACAGUGGACCCCUGCCAUGACUUCUUCAGCUACGCCUGUGGGGGCUGGAUCAAGGCCAACCCAGUCCCUGAUGGCCACUCACGCUGGGGGACCUUCAGCAACCUCUGGGAACACAACCAAGCAAUCAUCAAGCACCUCCUCGAAAACUCCACGGCCAGUGUGAGCGAGGCAGAGAGAAAGGCACAAGUAUACUACCGUGCGUGCAUGAACGAGACCAGGAUCGAGGAGCUCAGGGCCAAACCUCUAAUGGAGUUGAUUGAGAGGCUCGGGGGCUGGAACAUCACAGGUCCCUGGGCCAAGGACAACUUCCAGGACACCCUGCAGGUGGUCACCGCCCACUACCGCACCUCACCCUUCUUCUCUGUCUAUGUCAGUGCCGAUUCCAAGAACUCCAACAGCAACGUGAUCCAGGUGGACCAGUCUGGCCUGGGCUUGCCCUCAAGAGACUAUUACCUGAACAAAACUGAAAACGAGAAGGUGCUGACCGGAUAUCUCAACUACAUGGUCCAGCUGGGGAAGCUGCUGGGCGGCGGGGACGAGGAGACCAUCCGGCCCCAGAUGCAGCAGAUCUUGGACUUUGAGACGGCACUGGCCAACAUCACCAUCCCACAGGAGAAGCGCCGUGACGAGGAGCUCAUCUACCACAAAGUGACGGCAGCCGAGCUGCAGACCUUGGCACCCGCCAUCAACUGGUUACCUUUUCUCAACACCAUCUUCUACCCCGUGGAGAUCAAUGAAUCCGAGCCUAUUGUGGUCUAUGACAAGGAAUACCUUGAGCAGGUCUCCACUCUCAUCAACACCACCGACAAAUGCCUGCUCAACAACUACAUGAUCUGGAACCUGGUGCGGAAAACAAGCUCCUUCCUUGACCAGCGCUUUCAGGACGCCGAUGAAAAGUUCAUGGAAGUCAUGUACGGGACCAAGAAGACCUGUCUUCCUCGCUGGAAGUUUUGCGUGAGUGACACAGAAAACAACCUGGGCUUUGCGUUGGGCCCCAUGUUCGUCAAAGCAACCUUCGCCGAGGACAGCAAGAGCAUAGCCACUGAGAUCAUCCUGGAGAUUAAGAAGGCAUUUGAGGAAAGCCUGAGCACACUGAAGUGGAUGGAUGAGGAAACCCGAAAAUCAGCCAAGGAAAAGGCCGAUGCCAUCUACAACAUGAUAGGAUACCCCAACUUCAUCAUGGAUCCCAAGGAGCUGGACAAAGUGUUUAAUGACUACACCGCAGUUCCAGACCUCUACUUCGAAAAUGCCAUGCGGUUUUUCAACUUCUCAUGGAGGGUCACUGCCGACCAGCUCAGGAAAGCCCCCAACAGAGAUCAGUGAGUUCCCCCAGGCCCUGCCGGGAAGGUGCCAGCUCCCCACCUGUGGGCAAGCCUUGGGACGAACUGGCCUUCAUUGCACCCUCACUGUGCACCCGAUCAGCUAUCACGAGAGCCGUCUGAAGAGUGGAUGCCCUUGUUAUCCCACUUUUCAGAUGAAGAAACCAAGGGCAAAAGAAGUAUGGCCCAGCUACGAGCUGGGAUGGGCUUGAGCCUGCCCAGCCUGUUGGCAGGGUGAGCCUGGCCUCUGGAGCGGAGCCGAUCUGGCACCUUGUCUCCGCUCCACUGCUUUGGGAUUUGGAGCCUUCAUUUCAUUUUCCGCAGAACAGGAUGGGAGGAGCUGGUUCUUGGGUCCUCAUGGCAGUCAAAUGUGAGGACCUCUGGGGAGCGCCAGAUCCCAAGGAGGCCCCAGCAAGAGCAGCUUUCCCAUUGUUCCUCACUACCACAAAUGGU